CCCUCGUUCAACAAAUCGCUAUUCGAAGCUCACACACAGAGACACCUGCUACGGCGGCGUCUCGCACGCGAUAUGCUUUGGGAGAAAGUCCCCGGACGCCUCCUUUCUGGAGAUUGCGGAAACGCGCCGCCAUAGAAGCAAUGCGGCUGACCUCUGAGCCUUGGCCCUCGUCCCACGUUCGCCCUGCCUGCCGCUACAUCUACCUCUUGCGAACCCUUGCUCCGCUUGUCUGCGCGCCUCUGGACCCCAUGGACAAAGAUAUGAGUCCGCGCCGGAACGCGUGCGGUCGGGCACCGACUUGGGCAAACAGAGACGGAUGGUAGGUGGACGCCAACGUUUGCACGAGUGGUUGCGGGCGCAGAGGACUUUUUGUCGAGGUCCAUAGGCAUGCGAUUGCCCGGUGCAAGCUGGGUUACUCGAUGGGGCUUAUUCUUGAGUCGAGG
rnacentral:RNase_MRP_RNA from 2 species